rnacentral:lncRNA from 1 species
GAGGCAGAAAUAUUAUAAACACAUAUCAAAGGCAAAGUCUACACCAUCCAAAUACGUCAGUAAAAUAAUGGAUGCAAUGCAUCAAGAAAAAACAUCCAUUCCAAAGAUGUAACACCCAAAUCAUUAGGAAACAUUUGGAAAGUGAACUUUAAUCUGAUGGGGGCAAUGGUACAUGGAUAUGGACUUUAUGGCGUCUUUGACAGUUCCCAGUGGAGUCAUCGUUGAGCGUAUACCAUUUAAAUCCUUGUACAAGUACUUUUGUUGUUGACAACAUUCCAGACACGCUUUACAUACAGCUGGACAACUGCCCUGGUCAGAACAAGAACAGGUACGUUCUUGGGUUUCAGGCUAAACUAGUAGAAGAAAACAUAUUCAAAAAAGUAAAACUAUCUUUCCUGAUGGUGGGCCAUACGCACGAAGACAUCGACCAGCAAUUUAGUCGGAAUGGUUAUCCUGAUGUGGCUCAGAAGAAUAUUUAAUUCAGGGCAGUCCUUCCACAUACAUAAACAAGAUACCACCAACAACAGAGAAAAUAGAUAUAGAGAAAACCAAACACGACAUAGUUCUAUGAGAAAGGAGAAGUAAUUUCCUGGUGGGACUCUUUCUUUAACGAAAUGAAAAAGAAGGAUAUUCAUUCACAAAAUACAAAUGUAAAAUUGAAUGAUAACUCAGGCAAGAUGAAGCAAACAGACUAGCUAUGAAAGCUGUACCUAAGGUAG